rnacentral:rRNA from 1 species
UGAGUAACCCGCCCUGGACUUUGGGAUAACCCUUGGAAACGGGGGCUAAUACCGGAUAUGACGACUCACCGCAUGGUGUGGUUGUGGAAAGUUUUUCGGUCUGGGAUGGGCUCGCGGCCUAUCAGCUUGUUGGUGGGGUGAUGGCCUACCAAGGCGACGACGGGUAGCCGGCCUGAGAGGGCGACCGGCCACACGUGGGACUGAGACACGGCCCAGACUCCUACGGGAGGCA